rnacentral:lncRNA from 1 species
AGAGACCGGGGAAAGGAUAGGGAGAAAUGAGGAGCAGAAGGAAGGUUCUGGGAGAGAAAUAAAGAGGCCGAGAGAGCAGAGCCAGGAGCUGGUGGCGCAGGCAGAUGGAACAACAGAGACAGAGAACAGAGCCAGAGGAGUGGGCACGCAGCAAGGCCUGGCAGCCAAGCCCUGUGGGUUUCCGUGGGAAGCAGAUGCUUCCAGGGACCAGCAACCGAUGGUCCCCAAGCACGUGGAUCCUUGUUGACUCCAGGCCCAGGGCAGCCUCCUCGGCAUCCAGCCUUAGCCUGGAGGAGCAACCCAGGUUCAGAGAGGUAGAUGAACAACAGCCCUGCCCCUGUGGGGCUCCACUGCUUCUCCUCCGUUCUCCCCCAGCCUCCACCACCCCUUUGUGGGUCCUGGGAAGCCAUAAGCUGUCACAUCACGCCUGGAAGAAAGCAGGCUGUGUUGGAGGGGUAAGUGUGAGCCACAGCAUGGGUGUGCAAGUGUGUGCAAGGGUGUGCAAGCUGG